UUAAGCGACUAAGCGUACACGGUGGAUGCCCUGGCAGUCAGAGGCGAUGAAGGACGUGCUAAUCUGCGAUAAGCGUCGGUAAGGUGAUAUGAACCGUUAUAACCGGCGAUUUCCGAAUGGGGAAACCCAGUGUGUUUCGACACACUAUCAUUAACUGAAUCCAUAGGUUAAUGAGGCGAACCGGGGGAACUGAAACAUCUAAGUACCCCGAGGAAAAGAAAUCAACCGAGAUUCCCCCAGUAGCGGCGAGCGAACGGGGAGCAGCCCAGAGCCUGAAUCAGUGUGUGUGUUAGUGGAAGCGUCUGGAAAGGCGCGCGAUACAGGGUGACAGCCCCGUACACAAAAAUGCACAUGCUGUGAGCUCGAUGAGUAGGGCGGGACACGUGGUAUCCUGUCUGAAUAUGGGGGGACCAUCCUCCAAGGCUAAAUACUCCUGACUGACCGAUAGUGAACCAGUACCGUGAGGGAAAGGCGAAAAGAACCCCGGCGAGGGGAGUGAAAAAGAACCUGAAACCGUGUACGUACAAGCAGUGGGAGCACGCUUAGGCGUGUGACUGCGUACCUUUUGCAUAAUGGGUCAGCGACUUAUAUUCUGUAGCAAGGUUAACCGAAUAGGGGAGCCGAAGGGAAACCGAGUCUUAACUGGGCGUUAAGUUGCAGGGUAUAGACCCGAAACCCGGUGAUCUAGCCAUGGGCAGGUUGAAGGUUGGGUAACACUAACUGGAGGACCGAACCGACUAAUGUUGAAAAAUUAGCGGAUGACUUGUGGCUGGGGGUGAAAGGCCAAUCAAACCGGGAGAUAGCUGGUUCUCCCCGAAAGCUAUUUAGGUAGCGCCUCGUGAAUUCAUCUCCGGGGGUAGAGCACUGUUUCGGCAAGGGGGUCAUCCCGACUUACCAACCCGAUGCAAACUGCGAAUACCGGAGAAUGUUAUCACGGGAGACACACGGCGGGUGCUAACGUCCGUCGUGAAGAGGGAAACAACCCAGACCGCCAGCUAAGGUCCCAAAGUCAUGGUUAAGUGGGAAACGAUGUGGGAAGGCCCAGACAGCCAGGAUGUUGGCUUAGAAGCAGCCAUCAUUUAAAGAAAGCGUAAUAGCUCACUGGUCGAGUCGGCCUGCGCGGAAGAUGUAACGGGGCUAAACCAUGCACCGAAGCUGCGGCAGCGACACUAUGUGUUGUUGGGUAGGGGAGCGUUCUGUAAGCCUGUGAAGGUGUGCUGUGAGGCAUGCUGGAGGUAUCAGAAGUGCGAAUGCUGACAUAAGUAACGAUAAAGCGGGUGAAAAGCCCGCUCGCCGGAAGACCAAGGGUUCCUGUCCAACGUUAAUCGGGGCAGGGUGAGUCGACCCCUAAGGCGAGGCCGAAAGGCGUAGUCGAUGGGAAACAGGUUAAUAUUCCUGUACUUGGUGUUACUGCGAAGGGGGGACGGAGAAGGCUAUGUUGGCCGGGCGACGGUUGUCCCGGUUUAAGCGUGUAGGCUGGUUUUCCAGGCAAAUCCGGAAAAUCAAGGCUGAGGCGUGAUGACGAGGCACUACGGUGCUGAAGCAACAAAUGCCCUGCUUCCAGGAAAAGCCUCUAAGCAUCAGGUAACAUCAAAUCGUACCCCAAACCGACACAGGUGGUCAGGUAGAGAAUACCAAGGCGCUUGAGAGAACUCGGGUGAAGGAACUAGGCAAAAUGGUGCCGUAACUUCGGGAGAAGGCACGCUGAUAUGUAGGUGAGGUCCCUCGCGGAUGGAGCUGAAAUCAGUCGAAGAUACCAGCUGGCUGCAACUGUUUAUUAAAAACACAGCACUGUGCAAACACGAAAGUGGACGUAUACGGUGUGACGCCUGCCCGGUGCCGGAAGGUUAAUUGAUGGGGUUAGCCGCAAGGCGAAGCUCUUGAUCGAAGCCCCGGUAAACGGCGGCCGUAACUAUAACGGUCCUAAGGUAGCGAAAUUCCUUGUCGGGUAAGUUCCGACCUGCACGAAUGGCGUAAUGAUGGCCAGGCUGUCUCCACCCGAGACUCAGUGAAAUUGAACUCGCUGUGAAGAUGCAGUGUACCCGCGGCAAGACGGAAAGACCCCGUGAACCUUUACUAUAGCUUGACACUGAACAUUGAGCCUUGAUGUGUAGGAUAGGUGGGAGGCUUUGAAGUGUGGACGCCAGUCUGCAUGGAGCCGACCUUGAAAUACCACCCUUUAAUGUUUGAUGUUCUAACGUUGACCCGUAAUCCGGGUUGCGGACAGUGUCUGGUGGGUAGUUUGACUGGGGCGGUCUCCUCCUAAAGAGUAACGGAGGAGCACGAAGGUUGGCUAAUCCUGGUCGGACAUCAGGAGGUUAGUGCAAUGGCAUAAGCCAGCUUGACUGCGAGCGUGACGGCGCGAGCAGGUGCGAAAGCAGGUCAUAGUGAUCCGGUGGUUCUGAAUGGAAGGGCCAUCGCUCAACGGAUAAAAGGUACUCCGGGGAUAACAGGCUGAUACCGCCCAAGAGUUCAUAUCGACGGCGGUGUUUGGCACCUCGAUGUCGGCUCAUCACAUCCUGGGGCUGAAGUAGGUCCCAAGGGUAUGGCUGUUCGCCAUUUAAAGUGGUACGCGAGCUGGGUUUAGAACGUCGUGAGACAGUUCGGUCCCUAUCUGCCGUGGGCGCUGGAGAACUGAGGGGGGCUGCUCCUAGUACGAGAGGACCGGAGUGGACGCAUCACUGGUGUUCGGGUUGUCAUGCCAAUGGCACUGCCCGGUAGCUAAAUGCGGAAGAGAUAAGUGCUGAAAGCAUCUAAGCACGAAACUUGCCCCGAGAUGAGUUCUCCCUGACUCCUUGAGAGUCCUGAAGGAACGUUGAAGACGACGACGUUGAUAGGCCGGGUGUGUAAGCGCAGCGAUGCGUUGAGCUAACCGGUACUAAUGAACCGUGAGGCUUAACCUU
rnacentral:rRNA from 1 species